rnacentral:rRNA from 1 species
GAACUCUUCGGAGUUAGUGGCGGACGGGUGAGUAACACGUGGGAACGUGCCUUUAGGUUCGGAAUAACUCAGGGAAACUUGUGCUAAUACCGAAUGUGCCCUUCGGGGGAAAGAUUUAUCGCCUUUAGAGCGGCCCGCGUCUGAUUAGCUAGUUGGUGAGGUAAAGGCUCACCAAGGCGACGAUCAGUAGCUGGUCUGAGAGGAUGAUCAGCCACAUUGGGACUGAGACACGGCCCAAACUCCUACGGGAGGCAGCAGUGGGGAAUCUUGCGCAAUGGGCGAAAGCCUGACGCAGCCAUGCCGCGUGAAUGAUGAAGGUCUUAGGAUUGUAAAAUUCUUUCACCGGGGACGAUAAUGACGGUACCCGGAGAAGAAGCCCCGGCUAACUUCGUGCCAGCAGCCGCGGUAAUACGAAGGGGGCUAGCGUUGCUCGGAAUUACUGGGCGUAAAGGGAGCGUAGGCGGACAUUUAAGUCAGGGGUGAAAUCCCGGGGCUCAACCUCGGAAUUGCCUUUGAUACUGGGUGUCUUGAGUAUGAGAGAGGUGUGUGGAACUCCGAGUGUAGAGGUGAAAUUCGUAGAUAUUCGGAAGAACACCAGUGGCGAAGGCGACACACUGGCUCAUUACUGACGCUGAGGCUCGAAAGCGUGGGGAGCAAACAGGAUUAGAUACCCUGGUAGUCCA